rnacentral:tRNA from 1 species
CGGGGCGUAGCGCAGCUUGGCAGCGCGCCUGCUUUGGGAGCAGGAGGUCCCGGGUUCAAAUCCCGGCGCCCCGA